GACGAACGCUGGCGGCGUGCCUAAUACAUGCAAGUAGAACGCUGAAGGAGGAGCUUGCUUCUCCGGAUGAGUUGCGAACGGGUGAGUAACGCGUAGGUAACCUGCCUGGUAGCGGGGGAUAACUAUUGGAAACGAUAGCUAAUACCGCAUAAGAGUAGAUGUUGCAUGACAUUUGCUUAAAAGGUGCAAUUGCAUCACUACAGAUGGACCUGCGUUGUAUUAGCUAGUUGGUGGGGUAACGGCUCACCAAGGCGACGAUACAUAGCCGACCUGAGAGGGUGAUCGGCCACACUGGGACUGAGACACGGCCCAGACUCCUACGGGAGGCAGCAGUAGGGAAUCUUCGGCAAUAGACGGAAGUCUGACCGAGCAACGCCGCGUGAGUGAAGAAGGUUUUCGGAUCGUAAAGCUCUGUUGUAAGAGAAGAACGAGUGUGAGAGUGGAAAGUUCACACUGUGACGGUAUCUUACCAGAAAGGGACGGCUAACUACGUG
rnacentral:rRNA from 1 species